GACGAACGCUGGCGGCGUGCCUAACACAUGCAAGUCGAACGGAACUGUUUUGAAAGAUUUCUUCGGAAUGAAUUUGAUUUAGUUUAGUGGCGGACGGGUGAGUAACGCGUGAGUAACCUGCCUUCAAGAGGGGAAUAACAUUCUGAAAAGAAUGCUAAUACCGCAUGACAUAUCGGAACCACAUGGUUUUGAUAUCAAAGAUUUUAUCGCUUGAAGAUGGACUCGCGUCCGAUUAGUUAGUUGGUGAGGUAACGGCUCACCAAGACCGCGAUCGGUAGCCGGACUGAGAGGUUGAGCGGCCACAUUGGGACUGAGACACGGCCCAGGAUCCUACGGGAGGGAGCAGUGGGGGAUAUUGCGCAAUGGGGGCAAGCCUGACGGAGCAACGGAGCGUGAAGGAUGAAGGUUUUCGGAUUGUAAACUUCUUUUAUUAAGGACGAAAAAUGACGGUACUUAAUGAAUAAGCUCCGGCUAACUACGUG
rnacentral:rRNA from 1 species